UCUCUGAUGGUCAAGUGGUUAGGACUUGGUGCUUUGACCACUGCAGCCCAGGUUCAAUCCCUGGUCUGGGAA
rnacentral:tRNA from 1 species